rnacentral:rRNA from 1 species
GUAGGGUGCGAGCGUUAAUCGGAAUUACUGGGCGUAAAGCGUGCGCAGGCGGUUAUGUAAGACAGAUGUGAAAUCCCCGGGCUCAACCUGGGAACUGCAUUUGUGACUGCAUGGCUAGAGUACGGUAGAGGGGGAUGGAAUUCCGCGUGUAGCAGUGAAAUGCGUAGAUAUGCGGAGGAACACCGAUGGCGAAGGCAAUCCCCUGGACCUGUACUGACGCUCAUGCACGAAAGCGUGGGGAGCAAACAGGAUUAGAUACCCUGGUAGUCCACGCCCCUAAACGAUGUCAACUGGUUGUUGGGAAUUAGUUUUCUCAGUAACGAAGCUAACGCGUGAAGUUGACCGCCUGGGAGUACGGCCGCAAGGUUG